rnacentral:miRNA from 1 species
UGUGAAGCCGGCAGGACUCGCA